rnacentral:lncRNA from 1 species
GUUCGGACGUUUUAGGUACACUUCUAAUAGCUAUAACUUAAAAGCGCAUUCUUGUUUCUAUUUUUCAUUGGGGGAUGGAAUAAUUCAAGUGGUGGUAUUAAUUUACUGCAGAGAAUAUAUUAAUGUUCGCAAUUUAAUUUUCAAGUCUGAAGUGUUGGAAUGCUGUAUGGGAGCAGAAUUUACCAUUAGUUUAUGCUUAUGAAGUGUCUAAGGAACGUAGAAAAAAUGGCAAAAGUCAAUUACUUUGCCUAUGGAUCCAACAUGAAUCCGAAGCGUAUGGAGUCGCGCAACGCAACUUUUUCUGAAAGAGUUUUAGCAACACUGGAAAAUUAUGAAUUUGUUCUCAAUUUUAAACGGAAAAACGGAACUGCAGCUGCAAAUAUUAGACCAAAAAUUGGUUCCAAUGUUCAUGGAAUACUAUAUAAAUGUGAUCCUGAAGUACUCACUAUCCUUGACAAGUAUGAAGGAGUUGAUAAAAACUGUUACAAACGAGAAAUCGUUUCCGUGAAAUCUAAUGACAAGUUAUUUGAUGCUUAUGUAUAUAUUGCAUGUGUGCAAUCCUGUGAUGAUUCUUUAAAUGCAGUGAGCAAAGUUUACCUAAACCAUAUUUUAUCUGGAUGUGACUUGCUACCAGUUAAUUACGCAAAUUUUUUAAAAUCAUUUCAACCCUUGGUUGUUGAUGUGCACGAUUUUUAAAUUUUUUUUUUAGGUUUAAUUAACUUUUUUUUUAACUAAAUUUUUAACUAAUAAAAUGUUUAUGAAAUAAUA